rnacentral:rRNA from 1 species
UACGUAGGGGGCAAGCGUUGUCCGGAAUCAUUGGGCGUAAAGAGCGUGUAGGCGGCCAGAAAAGUCCGCUGUGAAAACUCGAGGCUCAACUUCGAGCUGUCGGUGGAAACUUUCUGGCUAGAGUCCGGAAGAGGAGAAUGGAAUUCCUGGUGUAGCGGUGAAAUGCGCAGAUAUCAGGAAGAACAUCGGUGGCGAAGGCGCUCUGCUGGACCAUAACUGACACUCAGGGACGAAAGCUAGGGGAGCGAAUGGG